rnacentral:rRNA from 1 species
UACGAAGGGGGCUAGCGUUGCUCGGAAUCACUGGGCGUAAAGGGCGCGUAGGCGGCCAUUCAAGUCGGAGGUGAAAGCCCAGGGCUCAACCCUGGAAUUGCCUUCGAUACUGUUUGGCUAGAGACCGGAAGAGGUAAGUGGAACUGCGAGUGUAGAGGUGAAAUUCGUAGAUAUUCGCAAGAACACCAGUGGCGAAGGCGGCUCCCUGGCCGAACACUGACGCUGAGACGCGAAAGCGUGGGGAGCGAACGGG